GAUGAACGCUAGCGGCAGGCUUAACACAUGCAAGUCGAGGGGUAUUGGUUUUCGGACCAAGAGACCGGCGCACGGGUGCGUAACGCGUAUGCAAUCUACCUUUUGCAGAGGGAUAGCCCCAGAGAAAUUUGGAUUAAUACCUCAUAGUAUAGUACUUUGGCAUCAAGGAACUAUUAAAGUCACAACGGCAAAAGAUGAGCAUGCGUCCCAUUAGCUAGAUGGUAAGGUAACGGCUUACCAUGGCUACGAUGGGUAGGGGUCCUGAGAGGGAGAUCCCCCACACUGGUACUGAGACACGGACCAGACUCCUACGGGAGGCAGCAGUGAGGAAUAUUGGACAAUGGGCGCAAGCCUGAUCCAGCCAUGCCGCGUGCAGGAUGACGGUCCUAUGGAUUGUAAACUGCUUUGUACAGGAAGAAACACUACUUCGUGAAGUAGCUUGACGUACUGUAAGAAUAAGGAUCGGACUAACUCCGUGCCA
rnacentral:rRNA from 1 species